rnacentral:rRNA from 1 species
AUGGAGCUUGCGUUGCUGCAGUACAAGGUCUUGAUCCACCUUGAUUCGGUGACUGAGUUCGGAACUUGGGAGGAGCCGCUGUUCUUGGGUGCUUCGUCGGACAGCGGACAGAGCGGCAUCCCUGGCUCCGAUGGAGGGCCGUUCGGUGGUUCUGGUGGUGGCGCUGGCGGCGCCGCGCAUGCUCAUUGCCCGCCAUGGCAGUUCGGUGUUCGUGAUAGGAGGGGCUCGCCGAAGAUGGGCGUGGCCUCCGCUGGCAUCGGCUCGCAGGGCGCUGUGGGCGGGGCUGGCCAGGCGUGGCAGCUGCCGCCAAUGGCUGCCCGACAGGUGGAGCCGCUGGUGGGGUCUCCCCUGACGGUGCGGCACAGGUUAUCCGUCAGAAGCUCUGCUUUUGACCGGCUGACGCGAGAGGUGGGUCCGGUAGAUGAUUCUGGGACGAGGACUGGCGGGAAUUCGAAUUCGCAAGGCGGCAACAAUGGAGCUCAACGCGGGGCAAGCACACCGGGCGCGAGGAACGAGGAUUCUGCUGGGCACGGGGAUUUGGUCCUCGCCACCCAUGCUGAGACAGCUGGCCAGGUGGGACAGGAUAUCUCGCAAGCGUGUGGGGCUCUGGCUCUCACCAACACCGCGGCGACAGAUGGCCAGUUGGGUGUGGACAACGGUCGUCCCACCAACGGCGACAAGAUGGAUGAGACGGGUCCGAGGCCCACCAUGUGCACAUGGGAGGUGGGGACGGAGCUGGUUCUCCCACCACGGAUCCCACUACACGCUAGCGUGGACAGGAUGGCCUCACUGCCAAUCAUUCAGGAGGUGCUGAUCCCAAGCGAGCCGGUGGGCCAGGGCGCGUCAUUGGGUGGAUCGCAUGCCACGGUUUUGGGCAAGGCUGCUUCAGCCCCACCCCAGUCUGGGAGUUCGCUAGCCAAUAACGCGCUAGAGGUGGCGGACCCUGCUGGGACCCCCGAUGGGAAUCAUGCCCAUGCACCAUGCAGCGACGUGGGCACGUCCUUGCCCCCGGAUCAGGCCCCCCGGAUACUGAUAUUGCUAUGCAAGCGGGCACAGUUCGUAUGCCGCAGCCGAAUGAUGCUGGAAUUGGUGCUGCGCUGGAGACUAAUGGUGCAUGUGGCACGAAGGCAGUGUAAGCUGAACGCUUGGGUAAUGAUACGACCAUGGUGCUGGGGCCGGUUAAUUCCAUUGGCAAUGAGGUUGAUGAAAUGGAGGGCAUGA